AGUAAAGUGUCUGAAAAAGAGUAAUUUUGAUAGAAUUAAGCAUGUGAGCUUCACCUUUACUA
rnacentral:tRNA from 1 species